UACAUCCUGUUAAAUCGUUGCACCGCCGCUCGUGAUAACAUGGUGUCGUAUAUAAAUCAAAUACUUUCUUACUUUAUGACUUUAGUAUCUUUUCAAGUAAGAAGCCUGUUUGUUUUUCAGAACACUUAGUUGCACGUAGGCGGAUCUUCAAAGAGAAAUCAGUUGAUUUGCCUAGAAGCAAAACCGGCGUAAAAAGAGCUCCGCCAGAUCACGAAAGAAUCAGAAGCAAGAACACAUAGAUCAUUUGAAAUGUGGUGUUACAGAAAGAUGCUAAGAAUAGUAUGGACACAAAAGAGAACAGACACCAUCUACGGAAGUAUUGUGAGAAAUGGGCAAAGAAUAGGUUUAAAGGUAAGAGGAGGAAGGAGUAUAUCAAGAGAGUGUAUGGUUAAAACAUUUAAAGGACUGGUUUAAAGGCAGUUUCAUAGAAAUCUUCAGAGCAGCGGUAGAUAGAGUAAAGAUAAUAUAUAAUGAUGAUGAUAUCCAACCUACGAUUGGGAGACGGCACUUAAUGAAGACGAAGAUCAGGAAAAUCUAUCAAAAGCAAUCAAUGCAAAUCAAUAUCGGUCCGAGCAGCUGCAAAAAAAAUCCACGUGUCAGGGACGACACUUCAAAGAUUUUUGGUCCGUGGUCCUGACAAUUUCCUCUCAAUAUUUUAAUAUAUUAAUUUGUUUUGUUGUAUAAUCAACUUCUGCAAUUAUUUUGUAAUAUAUUUAAUUUAAAAUGAA
rnacentral:lncRNA from 1 species